rnacentral:rRNA from 1 species
UAGGGAAUCUUGGGCAAUGGGCGCAAGCCUGACCCAGCCAUGCCGCGUGUGUGAAGAAGGCUUUCGGGUUGUAAAGCACUUUCAGUGGUGAAGAUAAACCGCAGAUCAAUACCCUGCGGGCUAGACGUUAACCACAGAAGAAGCACCGGCUAACUCCGUGCCAGCAGCCGCGGUAAUACGGAGGGUGCGAACGUUAAUCGGAAUUACUGGGCGUAAAGCGCGCGUAGGCGGUUUGUUAAGUGGGAUGUGAAAGCCCCGGGCUUAACCUGGGAAUUGCAUUCCAAACUGACAGACUAGAGUGUGGUAGAGGGAGGUAGAAUUUCCUGUGUAGCGGUGAAAUGCGUAGAUAUAGGAAGGAAUACCAGUGGCGAAGGCGGCCUCCUGGAUCAACACUGACGCUGAGGCGCGAAAGCGUGGGGAGCAAACAGGAUUAGAUACCCCCGUAGUCC